GCGGGUUUAGCUCAGUUGGGAGAGCGCCAGACUGAAGUCCACUUCACUCAUAGCAUCUGGAGGUCAUGUGUUCGAUCCACAUAAACCGCA